UUAAGUUCAGCGGGUAUUCCUACCUGAUCCGAGGUCAACCAUUAAAAAUUUGGGGGUUUAGCGGCUAGGGUUAUAGCACUUUCAAAAGCGUGAUAAGUAUUACUGCGCUCAGAGGUGACUACGACUCCGCCGUUAGAUUUGAGGAACUACAGGGUAGCUACAGGGUAGCUACCGCUCACAGUAGAUUCCCAACACUAAGC
rnacentral:misc_RNA from 1 species